GACCCAAAACGGAGACGGGCCCAGG
rnacentral:piRNA from 1 species